AUCGAACGCUGGCGGCAGGCCUAACACAUGCAAGUCGAACGAACUCUUCGGUGUUAGUGGCUGACGGGUGAUUAACACGGGGGAACGUGCCUUUAGGUUCGUGAUAACUCAUGGGAACUUGCGCUAAUACCGAAUGUGCCCUUCGGGGGAAAGAUUUAUCGCCUAUAGAGCGGCCCGCGGCUGAUUAGCUAGUUGGUGAGGUAAAUGGUCACCAAGGCGACGAGCAGUAGCUGGUCUGAGAGGAUGAUCAGCCACAUUGGGACUGAGACACGGCCCAAAAUCCUACGGGAGGCAGCAGUGGGGAAUCUUGCGCAAUGGGCGAAAGGCUGACGCAGCCAUGGCGCGUGAAUGCUGAAGGUCUUAGGAUUGUAAAAUUCUUUCACCGGGGCCGAUAAUGACGGUACCCGGAGAAGAAGCCCCGGCUAACUUCGUG
rnacentral:rRNA from 1 species